GUGUUGUAUGAAAGGAGAGACGGUCAGCACUCCCCUAGACAAGGAUGGAACACAUAUAAGGUUGAUGGUACCGCUGAGUAAUCAGCGCUUGACCCAUUUAA